rnacentral:ncRNA from 1 species
GAUUGCAUUUCCUUUCUGUAAUUCGCGGCUG